GGGGCGGGCAGCUAUACAUGCAGUCGAGCGGACAGAUGGGAGCUUGCUCCCUGAUGUUAGCGGCGGACGGGUGAGUAACACGUGGGUAACCUGCCUGUAAGACUGGGAUAACUCCGGGAAACCGGGGCUAAUACCGGAUGCUUGUUUGAACCGCAUGGUUCAAACAUAAAAGGUGGCUUCGGCUACCACUUACAGAUGGACCCGCGGCGCAUUAGCUAGUUGGUGAGGUAAUGGCUCACCAAGGCGACGAUGCGUAGCCGACCUGAGAGGGUGAUCGGCCACACUGGGACUGAGACACGGCCCAGACUCCUACGGGAGGCAGCAGUAGGGAAUCUUCCGCAAUGGACGAAAGUCUGACGGAGCAACGCCGCGUGAGUGAUGAAGGUUUUCGGAUCGUAAAGCUCUGUUGUUAGGGAAGAACAAGUACCGUUCGAAUAGGGCGGUACCUUGACGGUAUAACCAGAAAGCCACGGCUAACUACGUGCCAGCAGCCGCGGUAAUACGUAGGUGGCAAGCGUUGUCCGGAAUUAUUGGGCGUAAAGGGCUCGCAGGCGGUUUCUUAAGUCUGAUGUGAAAGCCCCCGGCUCAACCGGGGAGGG
rnacentral:rRNA from 1 species